rnacentral:rRNA from 1 species
UACGGAGGGUGCAAGCGUUAUCCGGAUUCACUGGGUUUAAAGGGUGCGUAGGCGGGCAGGUAAGUCCGUGGUGAAAUCUCUGAGCUUAACUCAGAAACUGCCAUGGAUACUAUUUGUCUUGAAUAUUGUGGAGGUCAGCGGAAUAUGUCAUGUAGCGGUGAAAUGCUUAGAUAUGACAUAGAACACCUAUUGCGAAGGCAGCUUACUACGCAUAUAUUGACGCUGAGGCACGAAAGCGUGGGGAUCAAACAGG